GACGAACGCUGGCGGCGUGCCUAAUACAUGCCAGUAGAACGCACAGUUUAUACCGUAGCUUGCUACACCAUAGACUGUGAGUUGCGAACGGGUGAGUAACGCGUAGGUAACCUGCCUGGUAGCGGGGGAUAACUAUUGUAAACGAUAGCUAAUACCGCAUAAUAUUAAUUAUUGCAUGAUAAUUAAUUGAAAGGUGCAAUUGCACCACUACCAGAUGGACCUGCGUUGUAUUAGCUAGUAGGUGAGGUAACGGCUCACCUAGGCGACGAUACAUAGCCGACCUGAGAGGGUGAUCGGCCACACUGGGACUGAGACACGGCCCAGACUCCUACGGGAGGCAGCAGUAGGGAAUCUUCGGCAAUGGACGAAAGUCUGACCGAGCAACGCCGCGUGAGUGAAGAAGGUUUUCGGAUCGUAAAGCUCUGUUGUAAGAGAAGAACGGGUGUGAGAGUGGAAAGUUCACACUGUGACGGUAUCUUACCAGAAAGGGACGGCUAACUACGUG
rnacentral:rRNA from 1 species